rnacentral:misc_RNA from 1 species
AGAACAACCAGCCAAGGCAGUAGAGACAUCUUAAAGUUUAAUAUAAUUGUCCAAGCAACUGGGUAUGCAUUUAAAACCAAAACAAAAUAGAUUAAAAAGAAUCAGCCUUAAGGUUGUUGAACUCCCGAAGGAGGAUUCAACCAGCAUAAAACUAAGCCUAAAAUCAGUGACAUAUUCUUGAUAGAAAACGAACUUAAAACCAUCUCGAGUACUGUAAAAUAAUUCGAACGAGAUCACGAAUGCAGCCAAACAACUUCAGAAUAAGCCUUAUCAUAAGUAAAAAGAAACGCGUCCUCCAUUAUUAACAAAAAUAAGAAAUCAGUGAUGCUACUAACAAGCUUUUAGUCGAUUCUCAACUUGCAUGUAGAUAUAUUUAACUCAAAAUGCUAUUUAACCAAACCAUGAGGAAAGUAGACACAAUAUGAACCCAUCAAGCAAUAAAAGCA